GGACCGUAAUGUGGUGUAAACGGAUGAUGAGAAACCCGCAGCAUAAAAUGGUGUAUGAAACCCCCAAUUCACUACCGCUCUCCUCAUACGAAAAUUGAAUAACCCUAAUUCUCUGUGCAACAAAAUUAGAAGAAAUUAUCAAAUGGAGGAUUCUUCAAUUAAGAGCGCCAAUCGAAAGGAUUUAACAGAUGAUAUUUGGUAUGAAAUCUUUCUUCGACUUCCUCUUGAUUCAAUCUUCAAUUCCAAAUGUGUUUCGAAGUUAUGGUUUUCACUUCUAUCAAGCCCAUAUUUCACUAACAAGUGUAUAAACUCAACAAUUCAUUACUUCCAUGGACAUUUGUUCAUGAUGUUUAUUACCUGGAACAUAUGAGUAAACCAAUUAGAAGAGUAUUACAAUAUGGAUAUCCUGAUUUGCAUUCACGAUUUGUAUCUGAUCAAUCAAUAUGGGUUUUCUUUUAGUUUCUUAUAUCAAGUAAUGGAUGCAAAUAUGUACCUCUUAGGUUCUAGCAAUGGUUUGGUUCUCUGCACAACAGGUGAUGAGAAGGAUUGUUAUGUAUGUAAUCCACUCACUCAAAAAUGGUUUUACUUCCUCCACCACCAAUAAGUCGAAUGGUUGUCAAUGGUUUCAUGUGAUGAAUGCUUUUUAGAACCUAAGAGUUAUAAGGUUAUCCGUAUACCAGACUUUGGAAAUGUAACGAAAGAAUUUAAGGUGGAAAUAUUUUCUUCUGAUUUGGGUAAUUGGAAUAUUUGUGAUCUUUCAUUUCCUGUACCUGGUACUUGGAAAUUCUUCUUAAAUGACCGUUGUGUUACCCAUAAUGGAGUUUUCUACUGGUAUCAAAACAGAAACUACAUAAUUUUAGCUGUCAGUGUUAAUGGAAACACCAACCAUGGAACCUGUGGGAAUGAAUGUAGGAUACUCGAUAUACCUGACCUAGCAAUGGAUGUUGAAAUCAACUGUUUAAGUCAAUGUCUCGGGGAAUCUGAAGGAUUGCUUUGUUUCGCUAGGUUCAACCAAAAGGAGAGAAGUUUGAGUGUUUGGGUGCUUGAUGGAGACUGGCAUACGUUGCGCAAGGAUAUUAAACUUCAUGAUUGGUUAGCAGAAGUAGAAUCUCAGUUUUUUGAUGGAUGUGAAUCAGAAGUAGAAUCUCAGUUGUUUGAUGGAUGUGAAUCAGGUGAGGAGGAUUGGAUGGAAGAAAUUGAGGUUGUAGGUUUCAGUCCAGUUGACAAAGAUGUGGUUAUACUUAGGUACAACAGGUAUGUUUGGGCAUAUGACACCAGAAAUAGGGUAUAUGAACAGCUUUGUCAUCCUUCUUCCCUACGUAGCAAUUUCCCCUCUGCUCGUCAUCUGAGUACUUCAGCAUUUGUUCUAAAACCAAGGCCGACAAUACUUCCGCCAGUUUCUUCGGAGUGACACAUCAAUUUUGGAAUCUCAAAUAUGAGAUAGAUAAUAAAGGAGCCCUUUGUCAUAUCUAAAGUUUUUAGCGGUGUUAAAGAAUCUUAAAUAUUUCUGUGCUUUUAGAGAAGUAAGAUUGCUAGUCACUUGGGAUUGAAAUGUGUCAUGGACAAUCUAUGUAGGGUUGUAAGUUCUCCUCAUUACAGGAAAGAUGGUUUUCUACUGUUCUUUAAUGCUUGUGAUAUAUAGUUUCCAAGUAUAGAGGAGGCUGAUUGUUUUCAGCAGAUGCUUAGGGAGUUUAUAAGUCAACUGUCAAAUUCAAGGAAGAUGGGGAGUAUUCAAGUCUAUGGUGAUUGACCAAAGAAGAGGAUGGUGACUAUUCCAUCGGAACAAGCUGAAUUCAUGGACUUCCAUUGCUUUCCUAUUAUGUUUCAAUCCAUCCAAAGAUUUUUUUUUCUUUUAUGUAAUUCGGUGUUCAAAACUCAAGACUAAAAGGGUAUUGACUGGCAGGGGAUUAGGAAUACUGCAGCUACACCGAUCUUUUGGCAGUAGAAAACACAACUAGCCGAAAGAAUAUAUCCUUAUCACAACUUUUCAUUGGAUAAGUGAACUAACAUAGAGACUGAAAAGGAGGGUAACAUCAUUUCCCCUAGUUGUUUGCUUGUGUCUCCAUGAUCCGCAUGUUUUUUUAUGAAGAAAUGUAUGAAGUCGAUCAGAUAUAGUUUAUUUCAGAUAGUUUGGGGGGUGGAAUAUCUUUGAAGUUAUUUCUCUGGAGAUGUCAUUUUGGCAUUUCCCUCUUCAUAACAAUUUAGAUAUUCGAAAUGGUGGACUUGAGGAAUGUAAAACCUUAGGUCACAGUCCACCACCACUACCGACAAAAUACACGAUGAUUUUUAUGCUGAUCUGUUGUGCUAGAAUCUAGAGAAACCAUUUUUAUACACGAUGGUUGCUUUCAGAGGCUUGGAAUUUCCCGCACUAUUAUAUGAUGCUCCUGCAGAACUGAACUCCAAACAUCUAUCAUCACUUGUAAUAGCCUAAGUUUUUGUUUGGCAAGUUUUUAUGUUAUCGAGUGGGAUGGCAGAUAUGCCAGACUGAAUUUUGUACCUUUAGAAGUUGCAUUCAAUACCUUCUAACCAGAUGUUUACCUUCACCUGGGAGCACUUGUUUUCAAAUUCUCGUUAGUAGUGCUCUUUACUGUACAGAAUGUCAAGUUGUUGGAUUGAAGGUGUCAUUUAUACAUUUAUGCUAGGGUCCUUGGGGACACUGAGAGAUUCAGUGAAGUUCCAUUAACGGUUGAUAGCAGAAAUUUUCAAGAACAAUGAA